rnacentral:rRNA from 1 species
UUUUUGGGCCCCCCCACGGCGGCAAUUUCCAGCUCCAAGUAUUAAGUGAGCUAAGCUCCUGGUGACUUUGGGCUUGGGCUGGCCGGUCCGUUUUUAACGAGUACUGGUUUUCAGCCGAGCCUUUCCUUUCUGGUUAGCUGCUGUUGGCUUGCUAGCAGUAGUGAUCCAGGACUAUUUACUUUGAAAAAAUUAGAGUGUUCAAAGCAGGCGUUUACUCGAAUAUAUUAGCAUGGAAUAAUGAAAUAGGACGUAUGGUUCUAUUUUGUUGGUUUCUAGGACCAUCGUAAUGAUUAAUAGGGAACGGUCGGGGGGCAUCAGUAUUCAAUUGUCAGRAGGUGAAAUUUUGGGAUUUAUUGAAAGACUAACUACUGCGAAAAGCAAUUUGCCAGACGGUUUUCUUAAUCAAGAACGAAAAGUUUAGGGGAUCGAAAGAUGAUCAGAACCGUCGUAGUUUAACCAUAAAACUAUGCCGACUAGGGAUCGGGUGUUUGUUCUUUUUUAUUGACUCCACUCGGCACCUUAACGAAAAAUCAAAUUUUUUGGGGUUCUGGGGGGGGAGUAUGGGUCCCAAGGCUGAAACUUUAAAGGGAAUUGACGGAAGGGGCACCACCAGGGAGUGGAGCCUGCCGGCUUUAUUUGACUCAACACGGGGGAAACUCACCAGGUCCAGACACAAUAAAGGAUUGACAGAUUUGAGAGCUUCUUUUCUUGAUUUUGUGGGUGGUGGGUGCAUGGGCCGUUCUUAGUUUGGUGGAGUGAUUUUGUCUGCUUAUUGCGAUAACGAAACGAGACCUUUAACCUACUAAAUAGUACUGUUAGCGUUAGUGAUGUCCGCAUCUUGUCAGCGAAGGUUUGAGGCAAUCACAGGUCGUGAUCGCCCCACGGC